rnacentral:rRNA from 1 species
AUGCUGAUCACCAUCGUUGUGUGCCUUACUCUAACACAGGAGCUUGGUCGGUACUCCGUGGAGGAGCACAACCGGCGCCGGGGGGAGGGCUGCGAGGACGGCGGCGUCUGCGGCCGGCUGGAGUUCGCCCGCGUGGUGUCGGCGCAGCGCCAGGUGGUGUCCGGGGUCAAGUACUACCUCCGCGUCGCGGCCGCCGAGGAGAACGGCGCGGGGACGAACGGCGUCAGUGACGGCCGCGUGUUCGACGCCGUGGUGGUCGUCAAGCCCUGGCUCCAGUCCCGCGCGCUGGUCAGGUUCGCGCCGGCCGAUGCCAAAUGA